rnacentral:rRNA from 1 species
UUACGGUCAAAUCACGCUGAAACACCGGUUCUCGUACGAUCACCGAAGUUAAGCAGCGUAGAGCCAGGUCAGUAUUUAGAUGGGGGACCGCUUGGGAACACCUGGUACUGUAAG